UACAGAGGUCCCAAGCGUUGUUCGGAUUCAUUGGGCGUAAAGGGCGCGUAGGCGGCCGAUUAAGUCGGGGGUGAAAGCCUGUGGCUCAACCACAGAAUUGCCUUCGAUACUGGUUGGCUUGAGACCGGAAGAGGACAGCGGAACUGCGAGUGUAGAGGUGAAAUUCGUAGAUAUUCGCAAGAACACCAGUGGCGAAGGCGGCUGUCUGGUCCGGUUCUGACGCUGAGGCGCGAAAGCGUGGGGAGCAAACAGG
rnacentral:rRNA from 1 species